CCCUGCUGCAGCAACCGGAGCUGGAGUCGGAUACCGAACGCACCCUCGCCAUGGACUCGGCCCUCAGCGAUCCGCAUAACGGCAGCGCCGAGGCAGGCGGCCCCACCAACAGCACUACGCGGCCGCCUUCCACGCCCGAGGGCAUCGCGCUGGCCUACGGCAGCCUCCUGCUCAUGGCGCUGCUGCCCAUCUUCUUCGGCGCCCUGCGCUCCGUACGCUGCGCCCGCGGCAAGAAUGCUUCAGACAUGCCUGAAACAAUCACCAGCCGGGAUGCCGCCCGCUUCCCCAUCAUCGCCAGCUGCACACUCUUGGGGCUCUACCUCUUUUUCAAAAUAUUCUCCCAGGAGUACAUCAACCUCCUGCUGUCCAUGUAUUUCUUCGUGCUGGGAAUCCUGGCCCUGUCCCACACCAUCAGGUCAGAAGGCAUCUCUCUGCAACAUUUGAAGCAGCUUUCUCGGGAACCAGUACAGGGUCUUGGAUGAGAACAUGACUUUUGGCAUCAUUCAGAGCCAGCCCCUUCAUGAAUAAGUUUUUUCCAGCCAGCUUUCCAAAUCGACAGUACCAGCUGCUCUUCACACAGGGUUCUGGGGAAAACAAGGAAGAGAUCAUCAAUUACGAAUUUGACACCAAGGACCUGGUGUGCCUGGGCCUGAGCAGCAUCGUUGGCGUCUGGUACCUGCUGAGGAAGCACUGGAUUGC
rnacentral:sRNA from 1 species